rnacentral:misc_RNA from 1 species
GUUUGAAGCAAAAUAUCAUGUGCUUAAACAGCUUGACUCUUGCUGAAAUAGAAUAAUCACAGUGCUUGUGACAAAAUCUUAUCUUAUUUAAUCAUUUUUUCUCAUUACUGAUAAUAAAGAAAGGGUCAUAAACAAUCUCAAUAUAUCUGCCAGCAAAAGACCCUGAAGAACAUGAAAUUUCUCGCUUUGCAUUGGAAGCUCCACAGACUUCAAAGUCCACUAUUCUUCUCACACCAAAAGCUCCAGAUAAGGCACAUCAGAAGUUUUCUACCUAUAACUCCAUUACUAUGCUUGAGGAAUUACCCUCUCCAAUUGGCCAAUUAAGCUUUGAAUAGUACAAGUUUAGCUCCCCUAAAAAGAAUAGAGGUGAGGUUCAUUUGGAUGGAGUUUUGGUGUCUAGUAGAUGCAGUCAAUUCAAGUAUUCAAGUUCUAUGAUUCAUACAAAAGAAAGGAACUUUAGAUGAGGAUCUAACCCAUAGAAUCAGCACAUAAUGGAUGAAAUGGAGGAAUGUGACGAGUAUGUUACUUAACCAUAAAGUGAAAGGGCAAGUUCUAUAGAAUUGUUGUCAAACUAACUAGAUAUAUUGUAUGAGAGUAAAUAUUGGGCAUCUAGGAUACAACAUAUGCAGAUGUUAAGGUGGGCGUAUUUAAAUACGAUAACAGAUAAGAUUAGGAAUGACAUCCACCAGAAAAUGAAUGUAGCACAGAUAAAAUGAGAUAGGGCCAAUUGAGACAUAGGGCCAAUUAAGACAGUUUGUUCAUGUCCAACAUACAACAUCAAAUGCCUUUGUACAGAAGUGUGAUGAGUUAGUAGGAGUUAAAGGGGAAAGGAAGAGACCUAAGAUGAUGUGGAAAGAAG